GAGGAGCCGGGUUGAGGUCACUACUCUCAUCCACGUACCACAAGGAAGAUGAGGGAGAGAAAUUAUCCUACCAUUAAAGAGACUGUGCAAAGAAUGUUGAGAACAUCACCACUCUACAGGAAUACACAGUCCAGUAAUGUGUGUCAGAAGUUCAGUAGUGAACGACAGGUAGUACUGACGCAUUUACGGAGAUGGGACAUGAGGGCCUUGUCUGCGUGCUCAAGAGAAGAUUCCACAGAGUUCAAGCUGAGCAGGCUGCAGCAGGUUUGGAGGAAUCCUCCUCUGAAGAGGAAACAUGGCGAGGUACUUCUCCACUGAUGAAGAAAUUUCUUCUCAAGAGAAGCUGCCUCAGCUCCACGGUCCCUCCUGCAGCCUCCACUCCUGAUGCUAACCCCCGGUCUCCAUCACACCAUCCGGGCAAACCUGGAGUCACAGAACUUUGUCCA